GAUGAACGCUGGCGGCGUGCCUAAUACAUGCAAGUCGAGCGAACAGACGAGGAGCUUGCUCCUCUGACGUUAGCGGCGGACGGGUGAGUAACACGUGGAUAACCUACCUAUAAGACUGGGAUAACUUCGGGAAACCGGAGCUAAUACCGGAUAAUAUAUUGAACCGCAUGGUUCAAUAGUGAAAGACGGUUUUGCUGUCACUUAUAGAUGGAUCCGCGCCGCAUUAGCUAGUUGGUAAGGUAACGGCUUACCAAGGCAACGAUGCGUAGCCGACCUGAGAGCGAGGGGGGACACAAGGGGGGUGAGUAACGGAAAGGGCGAAAAAGGGAGGAAGCAGGAGCGAAUCGGCAGAAAAGGGCGACAGACGGAAAGAGAAAAGAAGUGGGAAAGAAGAAUGGAGUAAGAUAUUAAAAAUGUGUUAGUAGGGAAGAACAAAUAAGUAAGGAAAAAUGCACGACUAGAAGGGAAGUAAUAAGAAAGACAAGGAUAACAAAGAG
rnacentral:rRNA from 1 species